AGGGCUACCUGACUGUCCCACAAACACAGACAGCACAGAGGAAGUCUGCGGGAUGGGAGAGAGAACAGCUCCCCUAACUAGUUGGAGGACGUGUGGUGGCCUAGAAGGAGGCUAACUAAAGGCUGUUCCGGCUCACCUAAUAUGCUGCUCACCCGGAACUCUGUGGAACCAUGGAAAAUAUGCCCCGGCUCUCCUAUCAGGAAUCAGCUGAGAUCUGGCUGCCUCUUGUGAGACUAGAGCCCUGGAUUCAAUUGAAGAACAUUAUGUUGGAGAGUAGAGAAACUUCUAGACUGUGAAGACAUUUGGGAAGGAAUAGUCUGUUUCGACUUGAAUGAAGAAAGACAUGGGGAAGGCUUGCCAGCCCAGCUCAUCUACUGUCUGGUAGCAAACAAGUCCUCUGUUGCCACUACCUAGGACAGUCUUCCCCGCUCUGCCCCCGUCCGGGUUCCGCACCCUUCCCUGCCUCACCCUGCCUCCUGUGCCCACCUCGCCUCUGGACCCAGAGAUUCUUCUUGUUUGCUCUGUCCUCCCUCCAGCAGGAUAUGGGGUGAAUAGUUAACUACACUCGGGUUGAAUGAGAUCUUGAUUUUUUUACUUCUGUUCCCCGGAAAGAGGUCAGUCUCUGUGCAUGGCACCCGGCCUGGAAGCAGCACAAGACUCCAGAGUGAUCCAAGAUCCGCCCUGAUGGUCCUGUGGGCCCCUUGGAGGUCAGCGCUGAGGAGCAGCCAGCGCUGGAGCACACGCAGGUGUGCGUUUGCAUAGGCAGAGGUGAGCCCACUGCUCGAUCCAUCUUCUGUUGGCACAAAUGCAAGGAGCCAUGAAGACUCCCUUCCGAGGUUGCAGUAGGAGAUCAACGUAUCCAGAGGCUUCAUGACCAAGCAGCUAAUUCUGUUGGUGGUGCCCCCAAGGGCCUCUUUCCUCUACUCUGUGAUGAUGACACACACAGCCGUCGGGAACUGGAGCCUUCUCAAUUCCAUCGUCUAUGGCCCCCCAUUUGCGUAGUUGGAAAUCCUUCCUGAUCAUCCCUUGAUUCCCCCUUCUUGACUACACUCAAAGAUGUUUGAGCUCUUCUGUUUGCAAAAUGGAUGGACAGUUUGUUUACAUAAAACAAUCCAAGCUUCCUCGUGCUGUAUCUGGUGUAUUUGUAAGGCUCUUCGGUGACUUUAAAAUGGAGUGUUGACUUUGGCCUCUUAGAUUCUCCAUGGUGGAAUCGAGAAUACCUCUUGAAGAUUUUCAGUGCCGCUAAAAUGUUAAGAAGGCUUGCAGACAUCCCCUUCCUCCCUCUUCCCCCACCUCCUCCUUUCCUAAGCAGCUUCUGUUGUAUAAAUCCCUUCAUUUAAACCCC